AAGUGAAAUUAAAAAACACUCAGCACUUACGUUAAUGAAGUACACUAAUCUAAUUAUUUAUCAUUUUGGUUAUUUCGAUACUCUUAUAAAAAAUUUAAGGGAAAUGUGAUAAAACAAAGUCUGAAAUUAAACCGGUUUUUAUCAAUUACUAAAAGAAAUUAAUUUGUAAAGGCUAUAGACUAUUUAAUUUUGUACCACCAGUUUUUCUUUCACUAUGAGCAAUAUGUGCGGGCUUUUCUAUAGCUCACAGAGAGAGAGAGGGAGAAAGAGAGAGCGAGAGAGAAUGAAACACCCCCACGCAGUCUCAACCACUCACUCACUUGUGGAGCAAAAUACAUAAAAAAAAAACCAAGCGAUUGACAGUCGACAACAGCCUAAUGACGUCACCGUCUUCAUUUCCCAGAUACCUUUUUGCCGCGGACAAAAACAUUCAAGAGGUCAACUAGUAAAUCCCCGAUAAAGUGCACCCUGAAGACCCCGUUUCGUAGCCAUCAUGAUGAGCGACAAGCAAACAAGUGCUUUGUGUGAGUAAAUAUAGCUGGAAGACCCGAAAAUGCAGACAGCAAACAUUGGGAAGACCCAAUGGCAAACAUAUGCGCGUAUGUAUGGACAUACAUAUGUAUAAAGAACUAUAAAAAACCAAAACACAUAUACACAGACACAGGAAGACUUGGGCCCGACAAGAACCUAGAAAUGUCAAUAAGCGAACACGAGGUAAAAUCGUCAGCAACGAAAGCUUUGGACCCACAUUCAAGGCUAAAAC